GAUGAAGAACGUAGCAAAAUGCGAUAAGUAAUGUGAAUUGCAGAAUUCAGUGAAUCAUCGAAUCUUUGAACGCACAUUGCGCCCGCCAGUAUUCUGGCGGGCAUGCCUGUUCGAGCGUGAUUUCAACCCUCAAGCACAGCUUGGUGUUGGGACUCGCGUUAAUUCGCGUUCCCCAAAUUGAUUGGCGGUCACGUCGAGCUUCCAUAGCGUAGUAGUAAAACCCUCGUUACUGGUAAUCGUCGCGGCCACGCCGUUAAACCCCAACUUCUGAAUGUUGACCUCGGAUCAGGUAGGAAUACCCGCUGAACUUAAGCAUAUCAAUAAGCGGAGGA
rnacentral:misc_RNA from 1 species